UACGUAGGGUGCAAGCGUUGUCCGGAAUUAUUGGGCGUAAAGAGCUCGUAGGCGGUUUGUCGCGUCUGCUGUGAAAACGCGAGGCUCAACCUCGCGCCUGCAGUGGGUACGGGCAGACUGGAGUGCGGUAGGGGAGAUUGGAAUUCCUGGUGUAGCGGUGGAAUGCGCAGAUAUCAGGAGGAACACCGAUGGCGAAGGCAGAUCUCUGGGCCGUUACUGACGCUGAGGAGCGAAAGCGUGGGGAGCGAUCCGG
rnacentral:rRNA from 1 species